rnacentral:rRNA from 1 species
UACGGAGGGUGCAAGCGUUACUCGGAUUUACUGGGCGUAAAGCGUGCGUAGGCGGUUUGUUGAGUCUGGCGUGAAAGCCCCGGGCUCAACCUGGGAAUGGCGAUGGAUACUGGCGAGCUAGAGUACGGUAGAGGAGAGUGGAAUUCCCGGUGUAGCAGUGAAAUGCGUAGAGAUCGGGAGGAACAUCAGUUGCGAAGGCGGCUCUCUGGACCAGUACUGACGCUGAGGCACGAAAGCGUGGGGAGCAAACAGG